UGGGGAAUAUUGGACAAUGGGCGCAAGCCUGACCCAGCCACGCCGCGUGAGUGAUGAAGGCCUUCGGGUCGUAAAGCUCUGUGGGGAAGGACGAAAAAACAUUGGCUAAUAUCCAAUGGCUUGACGGUACUUCCUUAGCAAGCACCGGCUAACUCUGUGCCAGCAGCCGCGGUAAUACAGAGGGUGCAAACGUUGCUCGGAAUCAUUGGGCGUAAAGCGCACGUAGGCGGCCUGAUAAGUCGGUAGUGAAAGCCCUCGGCUUAACCGAGGAAGUGCUAUCGAAACUGCCAGACUUGAGUACCGGAGAGGAUCGCGGAAUUCCCGGUGUAGAGGUGAAAUUCGUAGAUAUCGGGAGGAACACCAGUGGCGAAGGCGGCGAUCUGGACGGAUACUGACGCUGAGGUGCGAAAGCGUGGGGAGCAAACAGGAUUAGAUACCCCCGUAGUCCCUGAGCGGGCUGGCAAGGCGCAU
rnacentral:rRNA from 1 species